rnacentral:misc_RNA from 1 species
GAUGAAGAACGUAGCGAAAUGCGAUAAGUAAUGUGAAUUGCAGAAUUCAGUGAAUCAUCGAAUCUUUGAACGCAUCUUGCGCUCCUUGGUAUUCUGAGGAGCAUGCCUGUUUGAGUGUCAUUAAAUUCUCAACUACACUGACUUUGAAUUGGUGUGGCUUGGAUUUGGGUGGGAAAAUUGUUGUGGGCUUUUUGUAUAGUCUGCUCCCCUGAAAUUGAUUAGCGGUACCUUUGUGGAACUGUCUACAGGUGUGAUAAUUAUCUACAUCCUAGACAUCUGCUGGAAUGCUGCUUUCUAAACCUUACUUGUAUUGACAAUCUUGACCUCAAAUCAGGUAGGACUACCCGCUGAACUUAAGCAUAUCAAUAAGCGGAGGA